rnacentral:lncRNA from 1 species
AAGUUUCAUUAAAAAAUUCCUUAAUUAAAGCUAAAAUUUACAUAUUUUUUUAGGUAAAGAAGAUAUUUUUCGAUUUUAACCGGAAAUAAAAUAAAUUGAUCUCGUCGAAACCACAUCGAGACGAAUUCCUGUGGCGCGUGGUUUUUUUGAGGUCGUCCACAGUCCGGAGAAGGUCAACAUUUACGCGAUUGUUGCUUUUUCGUGUUAAGAAGGUAAGAUUCAAAAACAAAUACUUUCUAAUUUUUUUUGAAAUGCUUUAAAAUAACGUUCUAAUAAAUUAUUUCUUUGUUUCAGAUUUGUGGUGUGUCUUAAAUGUUGUCCAGGAUGAUAUAAUUUUGUUCCUGAAAAUAUUGAGGUGUACCAAAUUAAUAUCGAAAGACGUCCGAGACAAUGUUGAGGUGUGCCACAGACAAAAUUGCAAAAUAUCCAGCAUUAUCUUGCAUUUAAUGGAGUCCCCGGCAAUGUUGCGAUGUCAAACCGAAUAAUGAGUUCUGGAACUCUAUUGAAUUAGGGAUGAUUUUGAUAUGCUUCAAUAACUGAGAAGAUCUUGCAGUAUACCAGACUCUCGACGUAUGUCAAAGAAAUGAGAUAUACUAAGAAUGAGAUUAAAUGUUGUCUAGAACAACUGACACUAUCUUGUUGUUAUCACAUGCCCAAUAUAGAGAGGUUUUUCGAUUACCUGACGUUCUUGGUGAUCUCCUCUACCACACUGACUAUAUUUCCUGGUGCUCUGUCACUUUUUCUAAGACUUGGAAGUUUUUUUGCAAUGUUUCAAUGUUGCAAUAAGGUCAAGGUGUUACAAAUAAUAUUGAGAUGUGUCAAGCACAAACAAGGAUGAUUUGAAGAUGUGUCAAGGUUGAUCUUGAGACAUUCCAGGGAAGAUAUUGAGUUAAACGAUGCUAAAAAAUGCUAGAGAUGAUAUUGCAGGAUAUUUAGAACGAUGUUGAGAGUCUGGGACAUUUAUUAUUAUUAUUUACAAUCUGUAACUAUCUUGAGGAGUAGUAGAGAUGGUGGAAACGAUGAUUAAUGUGCAGGGACGAUAUUGAGGUGUCCUAUAGAGGGUAUUUCGAUAUGUCAGAAACAAUCUUAAGAUGUCCCAGAGGUAAUGAGGUGUCCGGCAAUUUUGAAGUGUACUAUAGAAAUGGCAUUGAAUGAUAUCUGCCUUGAAUUGUACCAAAAUGAUUAUGAACGCUAUUUGGGGUGAUGUGGUGCGCCAAGUAUCUAUUUAAAGUGAUUUUAGGUCGAAAAGAUCGCAACAUAACCUCACUUUUUAAUUAAUAACUGCGAAAUUGGUUUGUAUCGGAUAUUAUCUUCAUGUUACACCGCAGCUGGGUCAUCUUUACGCUGAGAUUUAACAAGAUAAGUUCCACGAAAAGAUUUUUCCCCCAAAAAUGUAUCAAAGAAGUUUUUAUGGGUUUUUAUUUUUUUUAUUGGAAAUUUAGAGCGAUUCAUUAAAAUAAAAUCGUCUCACGAAAAGAUUUUUCCCCCAAAAAUGUAUCAAAGAAGUUUUUAUCGAAACAUAACCUCACUUUUUUUUAUUGGAAAUUUGGAGUGAUUCAUUAAAAUAAAAUCAAAAAAACGGCAUUAAUAAAUACUAAACUCAACGUUGAGUCCAAUUAACGAUGAUGUGUCACACUCAUAUUAUAAAAUUGCGAGAAGAUAUUGAGUUGUACCUAUCUGUAACUAUCUUGAGGGGUAAUAGAGAUGCUGGAAAUGAUGUUUAACCAAUAAGUACUUAGACACCCAUGCAAAUACUAACAUUUGCGGUAACAGGCUCUUUUUAACGAUGAAUCAAGAGUCUGACAACGUUAUCUGUCAUGUUGCGAGGUUCACCAUCGAUUGGGCUACCACCAUACCAGCUACCAUCAUACAACGACUUGUGGAAAACAUUUCAAUAAUAAUUAUAAUAAUAAUAAUAAGGUUACACACAAUGCCUAACAGCGAGAUGGGGAAAAUUACGAGAUUGAAGUACGAGGUAUGUAGAAAUCUCGUAGAAAAUACUCAAUCAUUUUCUGUUCCUAUUUUUCAUUUGAAAU